ensembl:misc_RNA Metazoa_SRP Metazoan signal recognition particle RNA
GCUGGGUGUGGUGGUGCGUGCCUGUAGUCCCAGCUGCUUGGGAGGCUGAGGCAGGAGAAUCGCUUGAACCCAGGAGACCAAGGUUGCAGUGAGCCAAGAUGGUGUCACUGCACUCCAGCCUGGGUGACAGAGCAAGACUCCGUCUCAA